CCUUUGSGACGCCAACGCCCGCAUGACGCUCGACGGGCCGUGAGGCCGCGGGCUCAAUACGGGCACGACAGUCGUCGUUCGCGUCGAGGGACAGAUGCUUUUGCUCGGGCAAACGGAGUCUGUAACAGACCCCACGCCCGCUGCGUGACGUUCCGCAUCCAAGAGAACGAGCAGAGCACACCGUGGGCCGAGGCAGCCAAGCGACUGGGCGAGGCUUGCCGGGAACACGGGGCGUGCCUAAUGUCCACCCCGCAACCCGCGAGGGCUGGGGGCGGAGAGGGACGAACGAGACCGUC
rnacentral:misc_RNA from 1 species